rnacentral:lncRNA from 1 species
GUGCAACAGAUGAGUGCUGCUCAAGCUCUCACUCUUUUGCCUGCUCCCCAAAGGCUGGCACCCUGAAAUCAAAGAACUUUGCUCCUCUCUUCCCAUGAAAACAUGAGCAGAACAGCCCCCAGGACUGUGCACUACCAGGAGGUUAGACCAAGAGUGCAAAGUACAGGCAGAAGUCAGCAUAUGGAAAGGAAAAUUGAAGUGAAGUGCAUGGAGUCUCAAUUAAAAAACAACAAAUAAACAAAACACACACACACACAAAAAACAAGUAAACAAACAAAACCAAAAAAUUAAAAACCCUGAAAUGCCACAGCCAUGGGGCCAGGUCUGUUGGACACUAUUUGAAGCUUCAUACUAACACGAGCAAUUGCAGCCAUAGACCACCUGGGCAAAGAGCGAAGCUGCUCCUGACUGCACUUGUUUUCUCUGGCAUCACUUUUCUCAAGUAUUUCCAAAUACCACUGAGUUUUGUGGUCUCAUACAGAUAUGACUUCGGUACCUAAACAGAAGACAAGUCCAGCUCUGGCUUGUUGCACCACAGCCCACAACAAAAUGGCUGUGGAAGAGACCUGUGGGGAAGGAAGAGAAGGUAAGCUUGUCCUCUUAAUUUUGCAAUUAUAAGAUGCCAGUAAAGCCUCAGUGCUCUACUAGGCAAUGGAGCUGCCAAACACACCAGAGCUAGCAGCUGCUUGAGAGACUUGCCCUGGGACAUAUGGGCAUGACAUCAGUAAGUUAGUGAGCAGAGAAGAGGGGAUUACUUUGGAACACCUGUUCCACACUAAGACCUUUCCAUUUUACCAGUUCUCAUUGCUUUUGGUUGCAUCACCUGCAGGAGUUGCCUUGUUUCCACCUGAGCCAAAGUCUCACCACAGUGAAAGAUGAUAGGACUCUAAUUUAAAACACGUAAACCAUUUCACCAAAGCUGGCAUAAACAGAGUGAUGAUGACACACACAGAUUAGAAAGAGAGCCCAAGCAGUUGGGUGCCAGGCUGUUCUCUAGGAGGAGUCACGGAUAUUGUCAUUGGUGGGCAGCUCUGCCUGAACCCUCCUGGAGCACUAGGCAGAGAUUACUCACAAGUGCUAAUUGGAGGCCACAGUUACAACAGCUAAAGCCUGGGGAUUCAGAAAUUAGGUGGCUUUUCUGAGCAGGAGCUCAGAUAAUCACCACCAUGAUGUUGACACUAGGAGUGCCACAGAGCCUCCCCAGCUCAGGGAGAGGCAGGUAUGCCUGGAGCUUUUU